CAGUAUUUACAACUAACAGAUGUUUAAUAAACAGCUGCAAAGCUCAACAUGCCCCAAUGUUUCCAAUGCAAGAAUGAAGGGAAAAGAAUGCCUCUGAAUGACUCUGAAAGCAUGCUUGGAGAAAAUAGCAAAUGUUUCUGCUGCACAUUUAGAGGCCCCAGAAUAUAAAUUUGCAUUUGCACGACUUCCCUUUUCAAUGAGAAUUCACGUGAUGCAACAUCCUGCUUGGUCCCAGGGCUGGAAUUCCAGUCACGCCUUUGCAGAGUUUUGCAGCCCUGGAAGAGAGGGGAGGCCGCACUGAACACCUGUGAUGAUAACUCCAGCCCAUGCCCAGACUUCUUCAGCCACAGAUGGCUCAGGGAUCCAGUCUCACUUGAGAAACAUGAUGGAAUAAGCCCACAGUCAGAGCUUCUUCUCAUUCAGUUUCAUGAAAGCUCUGAGCUCCCACAAGUGUCUGCUGGAACUGGACAGGAAGCUUGCAAGAUGCUGGCUACGAUUCAGCGCAGUCACCGCCUUCCCCAGUCCGCCCGCCAUCCCCAGCCAUCCAACCACUUCCUCCCCACGAGGCAUCGCCCGUUGGAAAGUUUUAUUAACCAAAUGCUUGGGGGUUUCUGUAUAUUUAUAUUACCUCCUCUUCUCUCCUUCUGUUCUACCCGGG